GACGAACGCUGGCGGCGUGCUUAACACAUGCAAGUCGAACGAAGUGGCGAACGGGUGAGUAACGCGUAAUCAACCUGCCCUUCAGAGGGGGACAACAGUUGGAAACGACUGCUAAUACCGCAUACUGAAGGAGGGGAUUGCGUCUGAUUAGCUCGUUGGAGGGGUAACGGCCCACCAAGGCGAUGAUCAGUAGCCGGUCUGGGCGGGUUAACGGCCACAUUGGGAAUGCGACACGGCCCAGAAUCCUACGGGAGGCAGCCGGGGGGAAUCUUCCGCAAUGGACGCAAGUCUUACGGAGCAACGCCGCGUGAGUGAUGACGGCCUUCGGGUUUUAAAGCUCUGUUAAUCGGGACGCGUUACCGGAAUAGAAAGCCACGGCUAACUACGUGCCAGCAGCCGCGGUAAUAC
rnacentral:rRNA from 1 species